AAGUAGUGUGACAUGCCCGUGUUGGUGAUACACUCUAAUGUUAUAUUAUUUAUUUAAUUGCUUUGGGAUAACGGGGUGUUACAUCAUC
rfam:Medicago truncatula strain A17 unplaced genomic scaffold scaffold0031, whole genome shotgun sequence.